UAGGUGUGGAGCUGGGUUUUGGAUUCCAAAGCCUGCAUUCCUAACCACUAUUGCAUCCUGCCUUGAAUUUCAAGCUAAGGGUCUGGUCCUCCUUGGGAGGCAGGGGGAGCUACUGAAGGUUUAGAACGAGUGGAGGGCAGAGGAGUGACUUCUUCAACAUCCUAGGAAGCAGAAAGGGUACUCAUAAAACAUGGAGACUCAGCUGGCUGGAGAUACGGAUGCAGAGUGGGAAACGGUGUCUGCUGUGGAGUCUUCCUUCUUGACUGCUUCACGCUCUCUGCUACGGCCUGGGAAAGCAGCAGAGGAUGGCCCAAGUCCUUGGGCCCCUGCACCCAUGUGGAAGACCUGGAAGAAGCUCCUAGCUCCUGGCUUCGGAUUGGUCCAGCUCCGGCCAUUGCGGCCAUCUGGGGAAUGAACCAGCAGAUGGAAGACCUCUCUUUCUCUCUCUCUGCCUCUGUCUCUGCCUCUCUGUAAC